GACUGGCUUGAAACCAGUCCUAGGGGGUUCGACUCUCUCCUUUUUCGUUUAGUUUGAUAUAGGUUGGUUCUUCGAAUGUAUGGUAAGGUGGGGGGCAGCCAUUUAGUCAUUCUAGACUAGUAAGGGGUUGUUCGAUUAGUAGUACUUUACGUUUUAAAGCAAAGGCUUCUCAGAUCAUGUAGAUUAUUAAGAUUACUGCUACUAGUGAGAUGAAGGAGCCUAUAGAUGAUAGGAUGUUUCAUGUAGUGUAGGCAUCAGGAUAAUCAGAAUAGCGUCGGGGUAUUCCGGACAGGCCAAGGAAGUGUUGUGGAAAGAAAGUUAAAUUUACGCCCACGAAUAUGAUGAUAAAGUGGGCUUUGGCACAAGUUUGGUUUAGUGUAUAGCCUGAGAAUAAAGGAAAUCAAUGUAUAAAGCCUCCUAUAAUGGCAAAUACAGCCCCUAUUGAUAAAACAUAAUGGAAGUGGGCGACAACGUAGUAUGUGUCGUGUAGUACGAUAUCUAGGGAUGAGUUUGCCAAGAUAAUGCCGGUUAAACCUCCCACGGUAAAUAGGAAGAUAAAGCCCAGGGCUCAAAGUAUUGCUGGGGAUCAUUUAAUGUUGCCUCCAUGAAGUGUAGCGAGCCAGCUAAAAACUUUCACACCGGUGGGGAUUGCAAUGAUUAUAGUGGCGGAAGUGAAAUAGGCUCGUGUAUCUACGUCUAUGCCAACUGUAAAUAUGUGAUGGGCCCAUACAAUGAAACCUAAAAAUCCAAUUGAUAUUAUGGCUCAAACUAUACCCAUGUACCCAAACGGUUCUUUUUUUCCAGAGUAGUAGGCUACAAUGUGGGAGACUAUUCCAAAACCGGGAAGAAUGAGGAUGUAGACCUCAGGGUGACCAAAGAAUCAAAAUAGGUGUUGAUAUAGGAUAGGAUCUCCCCCUCCAACAGGAUCAAAGAAAGUAGUGUUGAGAUUGCGAUCUGUUAGCAGUAUAGUAAUGCCAGCGGCUAAGACUGGUAGAGAGAGGAGUAGAAGGAUUGCUGUGAUUAAGAUUGAUCAGACAAAUAAAGGGGUUUGAUACUGGGAUAUUGCGGGGGGUUUUAUGUUGAUGAUAGUGGUGAUAAAGUUGAUGGCUCCUAAGAUAGAGGAAAUACCUGCUAGGUGGAGGGAGAAGAUGAUUAAAUCUACGGAAGCUCCUGGGUGGGAGAAGUUUCCUGCUAAAGGGGGGUAUACUGUUCAACCUGUUCCAACGCCAGCUUCUACUACGGCUGAUGCCAUUAGUAGCAGGAAAGAGGGAGGGAGAAGUCAGAAGCUUAUAUUAUUUAGACGGGGAAAUGCUAUGUCGGGUGCGCCGAUUAUUAAGGGCACUAGUCAGUUCCUGAAGCCUCCAAUUAUAAUAGGUAUGACUGUAAAGAAAAUUAUAAUGAAUGCAUGGGCCGUUACAAUAACGUUGUAGAUGUGGUCGUUACCUAGUAGGUUGCCAGGUUGACCUAGUUCAGCUCGAAUGAGAAGGCUCAGGGCUGUACCUAUGACUCCAGCUCAUGCACCAAAUAGUAAGUACAGGGUUCCAAUGUCUUUAUGGUUUGUUGAAAAGAGUCAACGGUUGAUGAGCAUAAG
ensembl:lncRNA